CAGCCGCCGCCUGGGCCCUUGAGCGCCGUAGUUGGGAGCGAAACCCUAUCCCUCCCAUUCCUACCAAACCCUAGAAAACCCAAAAAAAUCCGCAAAUUUACCCCCAAAAAUCUUGAAAAAAAUCAUCAGGAACCUAUCCUUCGGUCGGAUCCGCUUAUCUAUUAUCUCUCCUACCCGGUUGAUGAUGGAGGCGCAAGUUCAGGCGUCGGCAGCGCCAGCGGCUGCCGCGAUGGAGGGCGGCGCGUCUCCCGUGGCUGGGACUGCGGCAGCAGCCGCACCCGCAACCGCUGCGGCUUUCCCGGCGACGUCCCUGUACGUGGGGGAUCUGGACGUGAGUGUGCAGGACGCGCAGCUCUUUGACGUCUUCAGCCAGGUCGGCUCGGUGGUGUCUGUGCGCGUGUGCCGGGACGUCAACACCAGGAUGUCCCUAGGUUACGCGUACGUCAACUUCAGCAGCCCUGCCGAUGCUGCAAGGGCAUUGGAAAUGCUGAACUUUACUCCUGUUAAUGGGAAGCCUAUAAGGAUAAUGUAUUCUAACCGUGACCCAAGCUCACGUAAAAGUGGUGCUGCAAAUAUAUUUAUCAAGAAUCUUGACAAGUCAAUAGAUAACAAAGCGCUCUAUGACACAUUUUCUGCCUUUGGAAACAUUCUUUCAUGCAAAGUUGCUACAGAAAUGUCUGGAGAAUCCAAGGGUUAUGGUUUUGUUCAGUAUGAGCAGGACGAAUCAGCACAGAAUGCUAUCAAUGAACUCAAUGGGAUGCUUUUGAAUGACAAAAAGGUUUAUGUUGGGCCUUUUGUUCGUAAACAGGAAAGGGAAAAUGUUUUUGGCAGUCCCAAGUUCAAUAAUGUCUAUGUAAAGAAUCUAUCAGAAUCUACCACUGAAGAUAAUCUGAGAGAAUUGUUUGGUAAUUUUGGACCUAUAACUAGUGUUAUUGUAGUGCGAGGCGAUGAUGGUAAAUCCAGAUGCUUUGGAUUUGUGAACUUUGAAAAUCCGGAUGAUGCUGCAUGUGCUGUUGAGGAUUUGAAUGGCAAGAAAUUUGAUGAUAAGGAAUUGUAUGUUGGUAGAGCCCAAAAGAAGUCUGAAAGGGAGAUGCAAUUGAAGGAAAAUUUUGAGAAAAGCAAUAAAGAGACAGCUGACAGGAACCAAGGCACUAACUUGUAUUUGAAAAACUUGGAUGGUAGUGUUGAUGACGAUGAGAAGUUAAAAGAACUUUUUGCUGAAUUUGGCACUAUAACUUCUUGCAAGGUUAUGCGGGAUUCAAAUGGGGUCAACAAAGGAUCUGGUUUUGUUGCAUUUAAAUCUUCUGAAGAUGCUUCACGAGCUCUUGUGGCAAUGAAUGGUAAAAUGGUUGGCGGUAAGCCUCUUUACGUAGCACUUGCGCAACGCAAGGAAGAAAGAAGAGCCAGGCUGCAGGCGCAGUUUUCGCAAAUGCGUCCUGUGAUGCCACCGCCAGUUGCUCCGCGCAUGCCCAUGUACCCCCCUGGUGUUCCUGGAAUGGGCCAACAACUAUUCUAUGGCCAACCACCUCCAGCUUUUGUUAACCCACAGCCUGGAUUUGGUUUCCAGCAACAUAUGAUUCCUGGAAUGAGACCUGGUGUUGCUCCAAUGCCAAAUUUCGUCAUGCCAAUGGUGCAGCAAGGUCAGCAACCACAACGCCCAUUUGGAAGGCGCGCAGGUGCUGGUGGAAUGCAGCAGCCAAUGCCAAUGGGUCAUCAGCAGAUGGUUCCAAGGGGCGGCCGUGGUGGCUACCGUUAUCCGUCUGGCCGUGGCAUGCCUGAUGCUGCAUUCCGUGGUGUUGGAGCUAUGGUGCCAUCGCUGUAUGAGAUGGGAAGGAUGACUCCUGGUGACACUGGAGCACCGCAGCAAGUUUCUAGUGGAGCAUUAGCAUCUGCACUUGCUAACUCUCCGCCGGAGCAGCAACGACUGAUGCUUGGUGAAAGCUUGUACCCACUUGUUGAUCAGCUGGAGCAUGACCAGGCUGCCAAGGUUACUGGUAUGCUUCUGGAGAUGGACCAGACUGAGGUCCUUCAUCUAAUCGAGUCACCUGAUGCUCUGAAGUCUAAGGUCGCUGAAGCUAUGGAGGUUCUCCGCAGUGCUCAGCAGCAGCAAACCAAUGUUCCAGCUGAUCAGCUGGCUGCUCUUUCGCUGAGCGAUGGCUUUGUUGCUUCUUAGUUGGAAUGCUGCUUGUUUCUGGUUUCUGUGCUGCUGGAAUUUUGGAAAACUCCUGGUGAAGCGACGCUGGCAUCAGUCGCCGCUACUGUUGUUGCGGGCAGCUCUAGUGAGAAUGAGGGGAGUAAGAAGGUUAACAAGAAGAAUAAGAAGAAAGGCAAUCUCCGUGGAUUCAAGUUGAGGUUUAACUCAAAACGGCUGGGUCGGCUUGGGAAGCAGUUAUCACCAGAGAAACAGAGAAUUAUAAGGAAUGGCCCAUUUGGACACUUGUUGGACAUCUAGCCUUUCAAGGCGCCUCAUGAGCUCAUUGAGUUUGUUGUGAUGUUCAUGAAUCACACACUCCAUGGGUUCAAAUACAAGAACAAAUCCAUCAACUUCAGCAAACUCAUGGUGAGAAAGAUUUUCAACGUGCCAUCCGGUGAUAGACCUGUGAAGCUUCUAAAGAAGAGCGAUGAACAUGACCUUCACAACAUUUACAAAGAGGGGAACAUGGCGCCAAUCACCCAUGUUAUCAAGUUGCUCAAAGAUUGCAGCGAUGAGGAUAAGGUUAUGAUAAAGGAAAAGACUUCCUAUAUGUAGUCUGAUAGGAACCUAUCGUCAGACCAAUCGUGAUCCGUCGAUUUUUGUUUGA